UACGAAGGGGGCUAGCGUUGCUCGGAAUCACUGGGCGGAAAGGGUGCGUAGGCGGGUCUUUAAGUCAGGGGGGAAAUCCUGGAGCUCAACUCCAGAACUGCCUUUGAUACUGAGGAUCUUGAGUUCGGGAGAGGUGAGUGGAACUGCGAGUGUAGAGGUGAAAUUCGUAGAUAUUCGCAAGAACACCAGUGGCGAAGGCGGCUCACUGGCCCGAUACUGACGCUGAGGCACGAAAGCGUGGGGAGCAAACAGG
rnacentral:rRNA from 1 species